AGCGCUUUAAAUGGGAACGAGGCUGGAAAGCCGGAGGGAUGUUGGAAUGGUCGGGGUAUGAGGGAGACGGCGAUGUCCGCUACAAAGAGCAUCGAAUCGGGUAGGCAUGCAGCUGGCGCUGCGUUAAUGCGUUUCCAUGGUCUGGAAGGACUGGAAUACCUAAAGCUGUGUGGAAGACGUGGAUUUUACGUGGAAUCUGCCUCCGGCUACAUAGGGACGCGUUAGUACGCUUGCAGUACGCAAAGGCUUGGUAUUCAGGCGGAUACGGACUUCGCGAUCAUUCUCAAGUGUGCUUGUGCUGGGCAACAUUCCAUCAUAGACGUGAUGAUGAUGUUGAUGUAUGAAUUCGGGAUGACAGGAAUCGGUUCAUCGAGGUGUUUCAACCGAUUGGUCGGAUCUCUGGGGUCACGUGGUUCUCAUGUAAUAUGGGAAAGUCAAACCUCGGAGGAAAAUGAGACAGUGGGAGAAAUCACUUAUAAAACACAACCCAAAUGACCACAGAUUAGGAGUCGGAAGACGAGCAGAGAGUGGGAGUAGCGAUAGUGGUGGAGGAGUGAACCCGGAGCAGGUGAACACAGCUGCGGACCGCCAUGGGCUCUCUUCCAUCGGUCCCGACUCUCCGUCUUCAGGUCUCUGAGAGACGGCAGGGGCCAGCCAGGGAGCGUCGGAGUGGGCAGGAGAGGCAGCUCGCUUUCCCCGCCGGCUACCGACUCCUCAGCAGCGAGGAGGGAGAGAAAUCAAUACUGAGGAGAGAUGCUGCCAGGGGUCGCCCAACGCUGCCUCCAGCCAUGGAGCCAUGGGAGCUUGUGUGUUCAGCUUUCUCUCUCUCAGCCCAUUCUCAGUCAACUAGCAUCAGCUAAAGAGAGGGCCAACAGCCUUGACGCUCUUCAUGCAACGCCGAGUGUGUGUGUGUAUGCGUGUGUGGUUCUGCCAGAGGGCCUUUCCAGGCUCGGCAUCACUUGAUAAAACUUUGCCUGCUGGAGAAUGAGUAGAAAAAGAAUGUCAAAGGUCUUUUUUUCCCCCGUCUUUGAUUCCUUUUUCGCCAUGAGUGCACAUUCCCCCUGACUGUUGUAAUGAGUGCUUGACGGAGAUCUCUUUUACGCUAAAUCAAGAGGCCUUCUUUUUUUAGUGGUCCUCCUCCUAAGCAUGCACAAAGUGCUCUACACCUAAUGGGCCGGGAUGAGAGAGCAGUAUGAAUCUCUUUUCACUUUUUCCACAAUGGUUUUUACGUGAUUUUUUUUGAUGGCCGUCACUAUUCGAGUGGCCUGGAGAAGGACUUGGCUGUGAUUUGCAGGUGAAGGGCAUGGUGCUUACUCUCCCUGGGCACUUCGUUACGGCUUUCACCCUUGACCGUGGCACUUGAUGGGUAUUAAUAAUGUUGCAGACCAAUGGAGGACACAGUGAGAUGGAGCUUGUGCACAAGUUCUUCAAAAGUUGCUCCUGCAUGGCCAGAGAUCCAUUGGGAUGUGGACAACUGAGAUAUGCAACUUCAAAAAGACUGGAUACUGGAUAGUUCCAGUAUCCUUGGAUGCCCAACAAGAUCCAGUUGAAUUUGGUGUUGUGAAAAAGCAGAAAAAAAACAGAAGAAAUCUCAGCACAACAAGCAGAUCAUCAAGAGGAGAUGUUUUUUCUUAUAUUUCCCCCAAUUUGUUUUAGUUAUUCUAUCACAAAAAAAAACACUGUUAUUGCUGUUUUUCUUGGAUCUGUCUUCUUACAAGUAAGUAAUUUUGACCAACAAUGGUAAGUUUUUUAAAUCUACAGUACUACAAAGUAUAUUAUAGAUAUUAUACUUCAAUUAUAGAUAUUAGAGCUAGAUAGGGCAGAUCUUUGAGUUGAUGUUUGGAUAGAUACUGUAUUCAUGUAGAUGGACACAUAUUGGGAUUUUAUUUAUUCUAAAAAAGAUAUCAGGAUAGAUUUUAGGUAACACUUUAUUUUGAUGGUCCAUUUGAGUAUUAGUAGACUGUCUGCUUAAUAUCUGCUGAUACUGCUGCUAAACAGACAGUUAAUUGACUAUAAGAAACUUUGCAAGUACAUGUCAGCUUACACUAACCCUAACCCUAACAGUCUACUUAUAGUCUAAUGAGAAUAGUUGGCAUGUAGAUGCAAUGUAACUUAAAUUCAACAAAUAGACCAUAAAAAUAAAGUGUGACCAGAUUUUCAAAUAAACAUUACUGCAUAUAGAUGUCCUUUUACAAUAGAAGGCCAGAUUGUUAGCCCUACUUUAAUUCUUUUUUUUAUAUUCCCCAAGCGAUGUUUAACAGAGCAAGGAAAGUUUCACAGUACUUCCAAUUAUAUAUCUUAUCUUCUGGAGAAAGUGUUACUUCUUUUAGUUUGGUUGGAAUAAAAGCAGGUUUUUACAUUUUAAAAAGAUUCCUUUCAGGGUCAAUAUUAUUAGAAAUGUUAUUUUAGGGGGGUUUUGGCUACAAAACAAAUCAAUGUUGUCCAGUAACUUGCCUAAUUAACCGAACUAUCAUACAUAAAUUAAAAAAAAAAAAAUAAAUAAAGAUUUUUUGUUACUUCCAACUGCUUAUUGAAAAUGAGCUGAAACAACAGAGUUCUUGUGGUUUUUUGAGUACAGCUUAAUUGAUUUAUGGUCAAUCCAAUUUAAUUUGUAAAAACAAGUUAACUUAAUCUAUUUGUGUUGGGACAACUUGAAGGAAUUGUUUGGAAUCCAGCAGUUUUUGCAGUGUAGUUAACCUAAUUAACAUUAAAUUAGUCUUUAAAUUGCACUUUAGGCUGAAUACUAUCCUACAAAAAUAACUAGUAAAAUAUCACGUACUGUCAUCAUGACAGAAACAAAAGCAGAGUUAUUAGAUCAGUUAUUAAAACUAUUAUGUGUACAAAUGUGCUCUCCGUUAAACAUCUCUUGGGAAAUAUUGAAAAAGAAUUAAAAUGUUUAAUAACUAAUUAUUUCACCUUUGACUGCAUAUAUUCAGGUAUAUAUUUGGGUGGAUAUUCAGGUAGCUUUGUGGAUAUUUGGAUAGAUAUUUAGAUGAAGGGGUAGAUAUUCAGGAAUAUAAGCAGACAGGUGUUUUUCAGACAGAGUUAUAUAUUUAGAUUCCAUUGCAUAGUUAUUCAGAUUAUGUGUCUGUGUUUUUAAACUGUAACUAUUCAACUGAACUGCA